rnacentral:rRNA from 1 species
GGGGAAUAUUGCGCAAUGGGGGAAACCCUGACGCAGCAACGCCGCGUGAGUGAAGAAGGCCUUAGGGCUGUAAAGCUCUGUCAUAUGGGAAGAUAAUGACGGUACCAUAAGAGGAAGCCACGGCUAACUACGUGCCAGCAGCCGCGGUAAUACGUAGGUGGCGAGCGUUGUCCGGAUUUACUGGGCGUAAAGGAUGCGUAGGCGGAUAUUUAAGUGGGAUGUGAAAUCCCCGAGCUUAACUCGGGGGCUGCAUUCCAAACUGGAUAUCUAGAGUGUCGGAGGGGAAAGUGGAAUUCCUAGUGUAGCGGUGAAAUGCGUAGAGAUUAGGAAGAACACCAGUGGCGAAGGCGACUUUCUGGACGAUAACUGACGCUGAGGCAUGAAAGCGUGGGGAGCAAAC